rnacentral:lncRNA from 1 species
GCAGCGGCGGGCACGGGCGGCGAGCAGGUGCGGUGCGGCCUUGGGCGGCGCGGGCGUGGGUGGCGACGGAGGUGAGAGAUGACAGGUGGGCCCCACCUGUCAGAGAGAGAGAGACUGAAAGCAUAUUCCCCCGAGAAUACGUUUUCCUGCGGAGAAAGCGUAUUUUCAGAGAAAAAGAAAAAGAAUAAAAGAAAAAGAUUAUAAAAUAUUUUUCAGGAUCUAUAAUUCACCCGAAAUUUCAUUUAAAUCAUUUAAAAUAUCAAAUGGCUUCAGAAAAAUUCUCAAAAAUUCUGUAAAAUAAUAUAUUUCAUUUAGAAUCCAGGAAAAUUAUCCCCACUAAAAAAUAAAUUUGUAAAAAUAGUUUUAAUGUUCCUAAGCUUUAAAUAAACCCAAAUAACAUCCUAAAAUGCAUUUUUAAACUCUAGAAAAUUCUCAAAUAUAUUUCUAUCAACCUAACACAUUCCAAAACACCAUUUCAAACACUUUCAAUAAUGCAUCAUGACGAACACCAAUAAUACAUCCGAAUUUGAAAAAAUUUGGGAUGUUACAUAGCUGUUUGUUCUCGCACUUGGAACGCUCAUCGGAGGGAUGCGGCAGGAACGCUGUGGUGGGGCCGCCGUCGGCGCCAGGCACUGAUGGCGGCUCCACCACGGCGUCUCUGCGGCAGCCCUC